CAAUCUUCAAAACACCUCUCAAGUUCGGAUUGUAGGCUGCAACUCGCCUGCAUGAAGCUGGAAUCGCUAGUAAUCGCAAAUCAGCCAUGUUGCGGUGAAUACGUUCCCGGGUCUUGUACUCACCGCCCGUCACACCAUGGGAGUUGUGUUUGCCUUAAGUCAGGAUGCUAAAUUAGCUACUGCCCACGGCACACACAGCGACUGGGGUGAAGUCGUAACAAGGUAACCGUAGGUGAACCUGCGGUUGGAUCACCUCCUUUCUAGAGAAAAGCUUUUAACAUUCGCUUGUUAAAAGCCAAAGAGUAUUACCUGACAAAAGGACUUCUUGUUGCUUAGUUUUGAAAGAUUGAGCUUAUUCUUUCUUUUUUAAAUCUUGGUUUUUAUUUGGUUUUUGCUUAAACUUUUUCAUUCUUGUUUUUAAUAUUUCUUGCUCGCUUGUAUUGGAUUUCUUAAAUCUUACUUCUUGUUUUUUUCCAUUUUUGUUUUUUACUUAUUGCGUUUUAAUUCUUAUGUUUAACUUUUUGUUUUUUUACGCUUUAAUAUUAAAGUUUUAGUUUUGGUGUUUUGCUUCUUGUUUCUUUGUGUUCUUAAGGUUUUUUACUGCUUAUAAUUUUUGUUUGUUGUUUCACCUUGUUUUUUGCUUGCUUGAUUUUGAUUUGAUUGUGUUUCGUGUUUUAUUUUUCUUAAAUCUUCAUUUCUUUUGUUUGAGUGUUGGUUUUAGUGUUGGAUUUUCUCAAUUCUUAUGUUUGUAUUUUUUGGUUCUUGUUUCUUUGUGUUCUUAAGGUUUUUUACUGCUUGUGGUUUGUGGUUGUUGUGUUGGAGUUUUACUUGUUACUUCUUGGGUUUUAAUUUCUUAUUCCUUACUUAUUGCGUUUUGAUUCUUAUGUUUUAAUGUUUGGUUUCAUAUUUUAGUUUUUCUUGCUUCUUAAUGUUUAGUGGGUUCGUUAUUUUUAAGGGGGUUUAGUGGGGUUUGGUCGUUGGGUUUUAUUCUCUUAAGCCUUAUCUUUAUCUCAUGAUUGCAAUUCUUGCUUAUUUUUGAUUUGCUUGUUUUUGAUUUCUUGCGUGUUAAGUUUUAUUUUUUGUGAAAUACAUAUAAGGGAGUGGUUAUUUUAAUUUUUUAACGCCCUGUAUUUCUAGAGUUUUAAACGCUCAAGGAUUUGGGUUUUAAUUUCUUUCGGAUCUAAUUGAACAAGUUGUUGGUAUUCAAAAUUGCGUGCUUGAAAAUCAAUGCAAUGCAAUAAUUCAAAAAUAAUAGAAUCGUUUUCAUAGGGGGCAACUAGGUGCAUGCCUGAAUAAUGGAAUUGAGUGCAAGAAAGCGCAAUAAAUACGCUGUAGGGUUUUAAUAGGG
rnacentral:rRNA from 19 species